UGAUCACUGUAACGCCCUGAGUGUUGCGGAUGUUUCGCAGAAGUUGACCGAACUUGAUUAUUUAGAGGAAGUAAAAGUCGUAACAAGGUUUCCGUAGGUGAACCUGCGGAAGGAUCAUUAAAGUUCUCCUUUCAAGUUAUAAACAAAAACACAAUAUAUAAAAUACUUAUAUUGUAAAAUUAUGGCAAAUGCCAAAAAGAAACAAAAUAACAAUAAUAAAAAUGUUUAUUAUUGUAUCGCCUCCUAGGCAAAAAAGUAUAGUAUAAAGUGUUUGUGUGUGUUACACAUUACACAAAAAUUGACUUAUUUAUAUAAAAUUUGUAAAAACUGAAAUUGUGUGGACGUUAUACAAAAUUAAUUUGUAUAGAAAAUGUCUAAAAAUUUGAAAUACAUAAAAUUAUAGUUGUACUUGUAUAAAAUUGAAAAGUAAUUUUUUAUAUAAGUCAAUCAUUGUUCGUUUUUUAAGAACUUGAGACAUUCGCAACAAAAAUUUUAUGUUUUAGUUAUAAAAGAGAAGAAUAAUAAGCAAAAAUUAUUGAAGGAAUUGAUAUAUGCCAAUUUGA
rnacentral:rRNA from 1 species